AAAAAGAGAAAAGGAGCAAAUUCUUUGUAAUGACUAUGCAUGGUUUUGAUGUUCAGUCCUGUCUGACUCAAUGGCCCCAUUUAGAGUUUGCUUGGCAAAGAUGCUGAAGCAGUUUACCUUUUCCUUCUUCAGCUCAUUUUACAGAUGAAGAAACUAAGGCAAACAGGGUUAAGUGACUUGGCCAAGAUCACACAAUCAUUACUCUAUUGGACUCUAUGGGAAAGUGACCAGCUGUUUACAAGAGCUUUGCCUGCUCUCAAAAUGUUUGAUCCCCUGACACUGCCUCAGCUCCUGGUCAUGGGUCCAGAUCUGCUUACGUCCUGUGAUCAUCUGCAGCAAGAUAUGGGAAGAUUUCUCAGGUUCCCAGAACACAUGAGGGAUUAGACAUUAACUUCUGUUCAAGAAAGGAUUGUCACAGAAAAACUGUUAAGGAGCAUUUCAAGUUAAGGGCAGUGUGUGCAACAGUUUGGAGGGAUGUUUUUGUAGUUCUGUUCUGUCUACACUUUUUCCGGUAAAUAUCCUUUUGUUAAAGGUAAUUGAUGUAAACUGUUUUUUUUCAUGUUAUUGAAGACCUUACUGGUCAAAAUCAUAUGAGGGCAAUAAUCACCAGUCAAAUGAUAUUGAGGAAAAACAACCAAUCAAUUGAUAUAGAGAUAGUAAGUGGUCUAUUGAUACUGCAGGGAAAUUCACUGUAUCAGGGCUCUACAAUAGUCAUAGAGAUAGAAACUCAACUCUUUAGGACUACCCUUUGAAUUUAGGGGAAGAAUAGUAGCCUGGCUCUGGAGACUCAACCUUCCAUUGCAAGUGGGAGUUGGGAUAGUGACUCCUAUAGCCUACAUAUGUGCUACUUAUAGCUUUAUCUUGCAUGCAUUAUAUGUAUACACGUCAUCUUCCCCAAUAGAAACAGAAUAGACUGCCUUAUUUUUGUCUUUGUAUUCUCAUUGCUUGGCACAAUAUGGAUACCUAAUAAAUGCUUUUAGACCUAAAAAAAAAAAUAGCA
rnacentral:lncRNA from 1 species